rnacentral:rRNA from 1 species
AACGAACGCUGGCGGCAUGCCUAACACAUGCAAGUCGAACGAGACCGUCGGGUCUAGUGGCGCACGGGUGCGUAACGCGUGGGAACCUGCCCGUAGGUUCGGAAUAACUCCCCGAAAGGGGUGCUAAUACCGGAUAAUGUCUUCGGACCAAAGAUUUAUCGCCAUUGGAUGGGCCCGCGUUGGAUUAGCUAGUUGGUAGGGUAAAAGCCUACCAAGGCGACGAUCCAUAGCUGGUCUGAGAGGAUGAUCAGCCACACUGGGAAUGAGACACGGCCCAGACUCCUACGGGAGGCAGCAGUGGGGAAUAUUGGACGAUGGGCGAAAGCCUGAUCCAGCAAUGCCGCGUGAGUGAUGAAGGCCUUAGGGUUGUAAAGCUCUUUUACCCGGGAUGAUAAUGACAGUACCGGGAGAAUAAGCACCGGCUAACUCCGUG